rnacentral:rRNA from 1 species
GAUCCUGGCUCAGGAUGAACGCUAGCGGCAGGCCUAAUACAUGCAAGUCGAGGGGCAGCAGGAAUAGCAAUAUUUGCUGGCGACCGGCGCACGGGUGCGUAACACGUAUACAAUCUACCUUUAACUGGGGGAUAGCCCGGAGAAAUCCGGAUUAAUACCCCAUAACAGUAGGAGAGGCAUCUCUCUUAUUUGAAAGUUCCGACGGUUAGAGAUGAGUAUGCGCCUGAUUAGUUUGUUGGUGAGGUAACGGCUCACCAAGACUACGAUCAGUAGGGGAUCUGAGAGGAUUAACCCCCCACACGGAUACUGAGACACGGAUCCGACUCCUACGGGAGGCAGCAGUAAGGAAUAUUGGACAAUGGGCGCAAGCCUGAUCCAGCCAUGCCGCGUGCAGGAAGAAGGCCCUAUGGGUCGUAAACUGCUUUUACACCGGAGAAAACCCCCUUUCGUGAAAGGGGCUGAUAGUAUGGUGAGAAUAAGCAUCGGCUAACUUCGUG